rnacentral:rRNA from 1 species
UUGCGACAGGUGCUGCAUGGCUGUCGUCAGCUCGUGUCGUGAGAUAUUCGGUUAAGUCCGCUAACGAGCGCAACCCUCGCUGUGUGUUAUAUGUGUCACACGGGACUGCCGGUCUUAAGCCGGAGGAAGGUGGGGAUGAUGUCAAGUCAGCAUGGCCUUUAUAUCCUGGGCUACACACACGCUACAAUGGCCAACACAAUAGGUUGCUAAGCCGCGAGGUGGCGCCAAUCCAUAAAGUUGGUCUCAGUUCAGAUUGUAGGCUGCAACCCGCCUGCAUGAAGAUGGAGUUGCUAGUAACCGCAGGUCAGCUAUACUGCGGUGAAUACGUUCCCGGGGCUU